AAGUCGUAACAAGGUUUCCGUAGGUGAACCUGCGGAAGGAUCAUUACCGUGGGGAUCCGUCCCCAUCGAGAUAGCACCCUUUGUUUAUGAGUACCAUUUGUUUCCUCGGCGGGUCUGUCUGGACCCGCCGCUAGGACCCCCCAAAAAACCUUUGUAGUUGCAGUACCUUCAGUAAAUAACAAAAUAAUCAAAACUUUCAACAACGGAUCUCUUGGUUCUG
rnacentral:misc_RNA from 1 species